ACAGGAAGACAUAAAGCCUGGCUGCCACUCUCUUAGACCUCUGUUGUUGGAGAUCCCUUUCUUGUUGGAGCUUUUCCUCUUGAGCUUAGGUAAUUGGGGAAGGAUACUCUUACUCGCCUGUCAGUAGCUUAACCCAAAUGAUACACAGAUCCACAGAUGACUGUUUAUGACACUAUCCUCAUACACCUGCUGUUGAGAGAUGGGAGCAUGCUCAGGACCCUUUGCUAGUGGGAUGUGAGUUGGCUGGCAAUUGUGUGGUUAUCCAGGUGUCAGGUUGCAGAGAGAUGUGCUGUCAAGAGACACCUGGACAGAUUUGAGAAAUUGGUCAAUAAAGGGGAAUGUGAAGCUUCACACCUGGGAAGGAUGAAGACCUUGCCCCAUGAGAUGCAGGGGAGCUGAUGAUCUGGAAUAGUAGCCUUGCAGAAAAGGGCCUGAGAGUCCUGGUGGUCAUAAAACUGAGAUGGAGACAACAUUAGGAGUUUUUUGAGAAACGAAUAUCUUCAAAAUUUUUUGCAAGUCUCAACAUAACUGAAACUUUUUGUAUUGGUGUUAUGUCUCCAAGUUUCACUCAACUAGUGAAGAAUUAAUUACCAAUACAUAUACGUUUAGGUAUUUUAUAAUUUACUUUUGAGUUUUCACACUCUGCCAAUUGAUAAACUUAACUUACAGUCCUUAUCUACUCCUGACACAGCUGAGUGCACCUGUCUCUAAGAUUACAUGGAGGAAAUAGAGUUUUAGCAGAAUAAAGGAAGAGAACUCAAAGAUAUUCCAAUGCAAAAAGUGAUUUUUCAAUGAAAGCUGGUAAUACACAGAAUGAAUAAAGAGAACUUACCUUGAAUUUCAGUUGCUUCAGCUCUUUCUUACAUUAUGAAAAAUCACUGCUUAUGCUUUAAGUUGACAGCUGAACAAGAGCCUGUGAGAUACUAAUAAACUUUUGAGUAGCAGAAAAGUUUUCUAUCUUGCAAGUGGCUAGUUUCUUGGAAA